GAUCUCAGGAUGAACGCUAGCUACAGGCCUAACACAUGCAAGUCGAGGGGCAUCAUGAUGAUUGCUUGCAAUCGUUGAUGGCGACCGGCGCACGGGUGAGUAACGCGUAUCCAACCUACCCAUGACUAAGGGAUAACCCGUCGAAAGUCGGCCUAAGACCUUAUGUAAUCCGAAGCAGGCAUCUAAUUUGGAUGAAAGAUUAAUUGGUGAUGGAUGGGGAUGCGUCUGAUUAGCUUGUCGGUGAGGUAACGGCUCACCGAGGCAACGAUCAGUAGGGGUUCUGAGAGGAAGGUCCCCCACAUUGGAACUGAGACACGGUCCAAACUCCGGAGGCAGCAGUGAGGAAUAUUGGUCAAUGGACGAUAGUCUGAACCAGCCAAGUAGCGUGCAGGAUGACGGCCCUAUGGGUUGUAAACUGCUUUUAUGCGGGGAUAAAGAGGGACGUGUCCCUCAUUUGUACCGCAUGAAUAAGGACCGGCUAAUUCCGUGCCAGCAGCCGCGGUAAUACGGAAGGUCCAGGCGUUCCGGAUUUAUUGGGUUUAAAGGGAGCGUAGGCUGCCGUUUAAGCGUGUUGUGAAAUGUACCGGCUCAACCGGUGAUGUGCAGCGCGAACUGGAUGGCUUGAGUACGAAGAGGGAAUGCGGAACUCGUGGUGUAGCGGUGAAAUGCUUAGAUAUCACGAGGAACUCCGAUCGCGAAGGCAGCAUUCCGUUUCGUGACUGACGCUGAUGCUCGAAAGUGCGGGUAUCGAACAGGAUUAGAUACCCUGGUAGUCCGCACGGUAAACGAUGGAUGCUCGCUGUUGGAUAUUUUUAUUCAGUGGCUAAGUGAAAGCAUUAAGCAUCCCACCUGGGGAGUACGCCGGCAACGGUGAAACUCAAAGGAAUUGACGGGGGCCCGCACAAGCGGAGGAACAUGUGGUUUAAUUCGAUGAUACGCGAGGAACCUUACCCGGGCUUGAAUUGCAGAGGAAAGAUCCAGAGAUGGUGAUGCCCUUCGGGGUCUCUGUGAAGGUGCUGCAUGGUUGUCGUCAGCUCGUGCCGUGAGGUGUCGGCUUAAGUGCCAUAACGAGCGCAACCCUUUUCCUUAGUUGCCAUCGGUUCAAGCCGGGCACUCUGAGGAUACUGCCUCCGCAAGGAGUGAGGAAGGUGGGGAUGACGUCAAAUCAGCACGGCCCUUACGUCCGGGGCUACACACGUGUUACAAUGGCGCGUACAGAGAGCUGGGUUUGCGCAAGCACUCUCAAAUCUUUAAAACGCGUCUCAGUUCGGACCGGGGUCUGCAACCCGACCCCGCGAAGCUGGAUUCGCUAGUAAUCGCGCAUCAGCCAUGGCGCGGUGAAUACGUUCCCGGGCCUUGUACACACCGCCCGUCAAGCCAUGAAAGCCGGGGGCGCCUGAAGUCCGUGACCGCAAGGAUCGGCCUAGGGCGAGACCGGUGAUUGGGGCUAAGUCG
rnacentral:rRNA from 1 species